UCAGUGACUGAACGAGAAGCACCUGGAGAGCUCAGAGGAGAGAGAGUGACAGAGGGAAGGAGAAGAGCAACAACACACCAUGGCAGGAAAAAAAUUGCAAAGAGAUCAAUUAAAAAAGUUAUGGAUUAUUAACACUGAUAAACUGGGUUUGAGACUUCCUUUGCUAAAGACUACAAUGACUAUAUCUACAUAAUGAUAUGAGAAGCCAUAAUCCAUCAACCACAGGCUAGUUUCACACCUAACGCCACCUUACAUCUCAAGACACGACGGUGGUCCUUCAACACAUGGUCUUAUUGGCAGAAGAGUCUGAAGACGAAGACAGCAGCAUUUCGUUCUUCUUGUUGAGGGCGUUAUCCCGGGACAUGCUGUCCGUGUUGGUGUAGUUAUGUUUCCUCCUGUUCGCCCUGCUGGUGCACCUCAUGAUGGCCUUCACGACCAGGUAGCCCAGCUCGGCCACAUUCAGCACCAUGCAGAUGGCCGAAGAGGACACCAUGAAGAUGGUGAAGAUGGUCUUCUCUGUCGGUCUGGAGAUGAAGCAGUCUACUUUGUUGGGGCAAGGCCACUGCUCGCACUUUACCAGCCGGGGCAUCUGGAAACCAUCAUAGACGAAGUACAGAGCAUACAUGAACCCUCCCUCAAAGAUGAGCCUGAAGAACAAGCUGCAUGUGUAGGUCCACCACAGCGGGCCUGUGAUUGGCAGACGCCUCCGCUUUAGAGUCUCCAGGUCAUUAUCUGUCGCCUUAUCAGCACCAUUGGAUGCCAGCAUGGUCCUCUUAUCCCCUCGCUUCCUGUAGGCCACGUGCAUGGCCACCAGCAGGGCUGGAGUGGACACAAAGAUCAGCUGCAGGCACCACAAGCGGAUAUGUGAAACUGGGAAGAAGUGGUCGUAGCAGACGUUUUUACAGCCGGGCUGCUGCGUGUUACACGUGAAGUCUGACUGCUCGUCCCCCCAGACGCUCUCUGCAGCAAGAACCAGGAUAGUGAUGCGGAAGAUGAAAAGGACAGAGAGCCAAAUCUUUCCCAGACUGGUGGAGUGUUUGUUGACGCCGCCCAGCUGGGCGUAGAGUGCCCCCCAACUCAUUGUGGUGAAGAGGACUCUGUAAGCUCAGAUAACCUGGAGAGAGGAAGGAAACAGAAGAGGGUUAGAAGAUCAGAGAAUCAGGAUUCAGUGUUGAUGUAGUCAGAGAACCUUGCACUGUCUCCAACCUGUUGUUGGCCUCCUGCUCUUUUCUUAGUAGAGUUUAUUUUGGUUAUUCUACUGUUUGAUAAAUUAUGUUGUAGAAAGUACAAUUCAUUUGAA